CUGAACCAGCCAAGUAGCGUGAAGGAUGACUGCCCUAUGGGUUGUAAACUUCUUUUAUAAAGGAAUAAAGUCGGGUAUGCAUACCCGUUUGCAUGUACUUUAUGAAUAAGGAUCGGCUAACUCCGUGCCAGCAGCCGCGGUAAUACGGAGGAUCCGAGCGUUAUCCGGAUCUGUUGGGUUUAAAGGGAGCGUAGAUGGAUGUUUAAGUCAGUUGUGAAAGUUUGCGG
rnacentral:rRNA from 1 species